rnacentral:rRNA from 1 species
UAACGAAUAUUCCGCAAUGCGCGAAAGCGUGACGGAGCAAUGCCGCGUGCAGGAUGAAGCGGUUUCGCCGUGUAAACUGCUGUCAGGGGCGAGAAAUACUGAUCAGCCCCAGAGGAAGGACCGGCUAAACUCGUGCCAGCAGCCGCGGUAAGACGAGUGGUCCUAGCGUUAGUCGGAAUCACUGGGCUUAAAGGGUGCGUAGGCGGGCUCGUAAGUGCCUUGUGAAAGCCCCCGGCUCAACCGGGGAACUGCAGGGCAUACUGCGAGCCUUGAGGAAACUAGAGGCGGGCAGAACGAUAGGUGGAGCGGUGGAAUGCGUAGAGAUCUAUCGGAAUGCCGAAGGUGAAGACAGCCCGCUGGGGUUUUCCUGACGCUGAGGCACGAAAGCGUGGGGAGCAAACAGGAUUAGAUACCCGCGUAGUCC